GCAAGUUGUGACUUAUCGGCACACAACACACCGCAAGGAAGAUCACAACAGGAAACUGUUUUAAGGUAGUAGUCGUCCUCAGCCCAGCUAAGAAUAUCAUCAUUACUGUGGCUUUGUGCACUUCGAGUCAGAGGACCUACUAUGCUAACAGUGAACGUCAUAAGAGAGGACUAAACAUAAAAUUAAGGUGGGUGCUGUACUCUACAAUGGUCCUGGACAUGUGGGCAACAACGAUGACCCAAACAGAAACUACUCUCCUUCAGGUCUUCCCACUGAAAUGUUUCCACCACGGCAAGGACCAAACUCCAGGCUGAGGGCAGAGGUUACAGAGCUGCAGCAAUGAGCACUCAGAGCAUCUGCUGAGCCCAGUCCUAAGGGUGCUGCAGGAGCUGAAACAUGGGGACACUGCAAGACACAGCUUUAUCCUCCUGCCAGAAAGCAGUAUGAACCAUAUCUGCUGUGAUUUGUUGCUGUCACCUGAACACCCUCUAGAGCUCUCCUCUGAUGUGAAGACAGAAGUCUUGUUAGUGAGCCAUCACAACAAAGCAAACACAGCAAACACCCUGUGUGCACACAGAACGCUGCUCUGCAGUACACCGUGUUGGGAAGGACGCCGGUUCUCUGCUGGAUGCUAAAUGAAGUUGAGGAACAGUUCUGAUUUUUAUGGCAGAGCAGUAUUUCUCCUGGACCAUUACUGUUAGGUCAGAAAACAAGGUAAGUACAAAUGAGGGAACUGGAGAAAUCAAGCCUGAGGAGUAAAAUGUGAAACAGUAUUUUGCUAAGGUAAGUGAAAACCACUUCUUACGCACAUCACAUGAUACACUGCCAAUCCUGAAGAUCCUCACGAAGGCAACAGUUUUCCAACAAAAACUGAACAAUAGAGAAGUUAUUAUGCAGUGCCCACGAUAGGGUUCCAAGAGAGGAAUGCCACCCAUGAACAGUGGUAGGAAAGCACAGGAAUGAAGCCUUGUUGCCCAUCUGAUCUUCUCUGAAGUUCACAGAGAAAGCACAAAGAGCUCUGAAGACUCAUGUACAUGCGUGGUUAGAGUACGAGUGAGAUGCACUGCAAAAGAGCAUACAGGAAGUGAACAUAAAAACCUAGGAAGUCCAAUUAAGAGAAGAAUAGAGCUCUGCAUCUGGUGC
rnacentral:lncRNA from 7 species